rnacentral:rRNA from 1 species
UUUUUCCUACGGGACGCAGCAGUGGGGAAUAUUGGACAAUGGGGGGAACCCUGAUCCAGCGACGCCGCGUGAGUGAAGAAGUAUUUCGGUAUGUAAAGCUCUAUCAGCAGGGAAGAAAGAAAUGACGGUACCUGACUAAGAAGCCCCGGCUAACUACGUGCCAGCAGCCGCGGUAAUACGUAGGGGGCAAGCGUUAUCCGGAUUUACUGGGUGUAAAGGGAGCGUAGACGGAGGAGCAAGUCUGAUGUGAAAAUCCGGGGCCCAACCCCGGAACUGCAUUGGAAACUGUUUAUCUAGAGUGUCGG